AUAUGUACAUGAAUGCAACAUUAAUGCACCGGAUCCCAUUAUAAAUCUGCAGUUAAGAGUUCUUAGGAUAGAGUAGUACUAGGAUGGGUGACCUCUGGGGAAGCCCUAUUGUUUUACAUGUC
rnacentral:rRNA from 1 species